rnacentral:hammerhead_ribozyme from 1 species
AUCCAGUUGACGUGUCCCAAAGUAGGACGAAACAAGCGUCCUGGAU